rnacentral:rRNA from 1 species
UACGUAGGGGGCAAGCGUUGUCCGGAUUUAUUGGGCGUAAAGCGCACGCAGGCGGUCUCUUAAGUUUUGAGUGACAGGUGGUGGCUCAACUACCACAGGCCUUGGAAAACUGGGAGACUUGAGGACUUCAGAGGGAUGCGGAAUUCCAGGUGGAGCGGUGAAAUGCGUAGAGAUCUGGAAGAACACCAAAGGCGAAGGCAGCAUUCUGGGAAGUAGCUGACGCUCAUGUGCGAAAGCUAGGGGAGCGAACGGG